rnacentral:misc_RNA from 1 species
UCCCGGAAGCUCCGCAUUUGCGUCCAAACAUUCAGUUCCACAUAAUCCCUGAUUAGGAACCCCAGCAGCCUGUGCUUGCAGCCUUGUCUUGGCGACAUCAAGAGGGUUAACGAUGAUGGCGGAGACAACGGCGGCACCAGCUGCAGAGAUGGCCCUCUCCAUAAAACCUAAAUUGGCAUCUAACGACACCGCUUUGGAAUCAUCCUUUUU